UGCUCUUGCUCCUGCUUUUGCUUUUGCUGUGCUUUUGCCAAUCUUGCUGCCGUGUCCGGCUGCUGCGACCUUCAAUUGCUCUGCCAGCGGAAAGGGUGACUCAAGCGGAAAAAAAAUUAAUGAUGGACGAGGACGUGAGAGCUCAAGUAGACACAUAGCAUAAUUAAAAAGAGCACUAAGAUUCGAACAAUUAAGAAUUUAAUUACGAAAACGCUACUCUCGAGUCUAUAAACUCAAAACGCGCUGAUGCACCACCCUAUAAUAUUCUGUUUCUGCUUCUGGCUCCUUUGCUUCAAACGAACACUUUGUGCAAUGCAAAUUUAAUUUGCUAAAUGAUUUUGCCGGGACGGGCGGAUGUGUGGGAAACUUGUUUUGCGUGAGUAUGCAAUUAAUGCCCGUCAGCCGUAUAUUCCAUCUAUCAUAAUUUUAUUUAGUUAAUGAGAAUUUUUUCCAACCAUUCCCCAGUGAGUGUGAUUCUUUGUGUGCAAUAGCAAAUUCCACGCUUGUGCGGCAGAUGCAAAUGUCACAAAAGUCAGCCUAGUCAUCGUUGAUGGGUGUGGAAUGAGCUGCACUUGGUCUGUCACGGAAGGUGCGCAGGCCUUUUAAAAAAAAUCCGUUGCAUAUUCCAAUGAAAAUUCCUGGGGAAAUUCAAUCCUGACGGUUCCUAUAACGCAUUGAUACUUCCGCAGCUAAAUGGGGAAAAAAAAGUGCCCAAAUCACAUCGUUCCCAUCAUACAUACAUUCCCAGACUCAAAAGUGCGGUAUAUGGGAUAUUUCUAAGUGGGGCGUUAUGCGAUACAUUUGUCAUACUCCAUAUGCCGUGAGUCGCCAAAAUGCCGAGAUCAGCUGAUUUGCCGGGGUCCCAACAUGAAUAUGAAUGGGGAGAACUUGAUAUGAUACUUUGCCUUUAAAUUCUUCACUUGAAAGUUGGCCAUUGUCCGUCAAUUGAGUCAUCACCAUUAUCCGUGCACCAGAGUCCAAAAGCCCGAUAAUAAAUAACAAAAGCAUUUGGGGACUGCGCUGCGGUUAUUGGAUACACAAGCGGAUAUACAACACUCCCCACUCAGAACCUUUGGAAAUGGGAUUGGGUUUGGGGGUCUGGGCAGGAACUGGGCUGAGCGACAAAUGUUUCUCAUAAACCACAAUUUGAUAUCUGCAAACAGAACUUGAGUACUUGAACUUGAACGGCGAUACAAAUGCGCGAAAAAGUCUCUUAUCAGCAUAAUGCGAUUUACAAGGAGUAAGCAAUAACAAUUCAACCUUAUAGUGAUCAAAUAAAUAAAUGCAUGUGAAGGGGACUUCCACAGUUUUCUCUGAAUCGUUCAAAUAAAUUAAACUCUCGUUUCAGGAGUACUUAGCAAU